GACGAACGCUGGCGGCGUGCUUAACACAUGCAAGUCGAACGGAAAGGCCUCUUUCGGGGGGUACUCGAGUGGCGAACGGGUGAGUAACACGUGAGUAACCUGCCCUUGACUUUGGGAUAACUUCAGGAAACUGGGGCUAAUACCGGAUAGGAGCUCCUGCUGCAUGGGGGGGGUUGGAAAGUUUCGGCGGUGGGGGAUGGACUCGCGGCUUAUCAGCUUGUUGGUGGGGUAGUGGCUUACCAAGGCUUUGACGGGUGGCCGGCCUGAGAGGGGGACCGGCCACAUUGGGGAUGAGAUACGGCCCAGACUCCUACGGGAGGCAGCAGUGGGGAAAUUUGCACAAUGGGCGGAAGCCUGAUGCAGCAACGCCGCGUGCGGGAUGACGGCCUUCGGGUUGUAAACCGCCUUCGCCUGUGACGAAGCGUUAGUGACGGGAAGGGGGAAAGAAACACCCGCUAACUACGUG
rnacentral:rRNA from 1 species